CCCUGACCUCUCGUCUCUCUCUCACGACCUAGGCGGUUGUGUAGCCACCGUCGAACACCACCAUCCAUGGAACGCCGCCUCGUCUUUGCCCAGUCGCCAUCCUCCUCCUUUUCACGUUUACCCUCAAGAUGCAACAGGGAGGGCUCCACUCUCAGAUCGAUCACGGCGGUACACCACUGAGAUCUGAACCAAAUUUAUUCCUACAUCAUGUGUGGAUUCCUUGGUUGCACCGCCGCCAGAUCCAACCUUGCUAGAUCACCCGGACGGAGGUAGGGUGAGAACCUCUUGGCAACCUUAAACCGACCUGGAUUCUUGUGAAUCCACGAUGCAAGGAGUCACUGGUUUCACAACGAGGCUGGCAUGGAGAUAGUCGGGAAGGAUGCGUUGUCAUGGUGACCACAACGAGGUUUCAGUGCAUCCAUGGACGCUGGGCAACUUCGCAUGGGGCCAACUCCAGGCUGGGUUCAUCGGCUCCACUGUGGUUGUCCGCCACCAACACACUCAUUCUUGCCUAGGUCGUUCCUCUCCUUGGUGUGUAACGGACUGUUGUUCGGUUGAAUACUCAGCAAG